UUCGAUACGGGGGGGUAUACCUUAAAAAUGAAAAAUCCCAAACUUUGGAGGUCCAUAUCUCGGCUUCUAUGGGCACUAUCGGAAAAAUUCAAACGGUUUUGACUUAGUUUCGUCCUUCUGAAUCCAACGAGACCAUCCGCAAGGUCGUAGCUCCCAUAUUAGCUGAGAUCUCGCAUUUUUAGGGCCCAUUUUUGGGCUCAAAAACGGGGUCAAAAAUUGACUUUUUCCCGAAUUUUCAAAGUGCUAUAAUUCCACUUGUUUUGGUCGAAUUCUGUUAUAACCCGGUGUUUUCGUGAUGUAGGUGAUGGGUAUAAGCCACUGAUAGGGGUUUCUAUAGCUAUUUUCGAGUUUAAAGAAAAUCGAUUUUUCGCAUUUUCAAAGUGCUAUAAUUCCCUUAGUUUUUCUCGAAACUCAUUAUAACCCGGUGUUUUCGUGUUGUAGGUGAUGGGAACAAGCCGCUGGUAUAGUUAGUUCAAAUUCGAAAAAAAUCAAUUUUUGGUGAAAAAUUCGAUACGGGGGGGUAUACCUUAAAAAUGAAAAAUCCCAAACUUUGGAGGUCCAUAUCUCGGCUUCUAUGGGCACUAUCGGAAAAAUUCCAACGGUUUUGACUUAGUUUCGUCCUUCUCAAUCCAACGAGACCAUCCGCAAGGUCGUAGCUUCCAUAUUAGCUGAGAUCUCGCAUUUUUAGGGCCCAUUUUUGGGCUCAAAAACGGGGUCAAAAAUUGACUUUUUCCCAAAUUUUCAAAGUGCUAUAAUUCCACUUGUUUUGGUCGAAUUCCGUUAUAACCCGGUGUUUUCGUGAUG